rnacentral:rRNA from 1 species
AAGAGCUCAUCAUUGGAAUCUGGCAGUGUUUCACUGUCCGAGUUGUAGAUGAGGAGUAGUCCGUCUGGACUGCAUGGCGUCCAAGUACAAUAGGCCGUCAGUGGGACAUCAUAGAGGGUGACAAUCCCGUCCUUGACGCCAAUGUGCAAGUCUAUUACGAUGGCUAUCUCAGAGAGUCGAGCAGUUUGGGAUUUGCUGCUUAAACAUGGGAGGUAGAUUCCUUCUAAAGCUAAAUACAGGCGAGAGACCGAUAGAGAACAAGUACCGCAAGGGAAAGAUGAAAUAGCACUCUGUGAAGGGAGUCAAAAGGCGUGAAAUUGUUGCGAGAGAAGCGAUUCAAGUCAGCGUAGCUAGGCCCAUCAAGCGUCUUCGCUUUGGACUAGCUUUGCCAGCGGUCUUGUCCCUUAAAGAGACUUGACUUGUAAUAUGUCCAGCCUGGCGUGCACAGGCAGCCCCUUCUGGGGGCCAGUGACAUGGCUGGUGGAAUGGCUUGCAAUCGACCCGUCUUGAAACACGGACCAAGGAGUCUAACAUGUAUGCGAGUAUAAGGGUGGCAAACCCGUAUGCGCAAUGAAAGUGAUUUUCGGUGAUUGAGAAUGGCCUGAUGACCAGACAAGCAAUAUAUGUCCCUCGUACGGCCAUUGCCCAAGUUCCGUGGUAGAUCCCACGAACAUGGAGUUGGAGCAUACAUGCUAGGACCCGAAAGAUGGUGAACUAUGCCUGGACAAAGCGAAGCCAAAGGAAACUCUGGUGGAGGCUUGAGAGCGAUUCUGACGUGCAAAUCGAUCGUCUGAUCUGGGUAUA